CCUACGGGAGGCAGCAGUGGGGAAUAUUGCACAAUGGGGGGAACCCUGAUGCAGCGACGCCGCGUGAGUGAAGAAGUAUUUCGGUAUGUAAAGCUCUAUCAGCAGGGAAGAAAAUGACGGUACCUGACUAAGAAGCCCCGGCUAACUACGUGCCAGCAGCCGCGGUAAUACGUAGGGGGCAAGCGUUAUCCGGAUUUACUGGGUGUAAGGGGAGCGCAGACGGCUGUGCAAGUCUGGAGUGAAAGGCGGGGGCCCAACCCCCGGACUGCUCUGGAAACUGUAAAGCUGGAGUGCAGGAGAGGUAAGCGGAAUUCCUAGUGUAGCGGUGGAAUGCGUAGAUAUUAGGAGGAACACCAGUGGCGAAGGCGGCUUACUGGACUGCAACUGACGUUGAGGCUCGAAAGCGUGGGGAGCAAACAGGAUUAGAUACCCCAGUAGUC
rnacentral:rRNA from 1 species